GGGUUGUGAGGUUAAGCGACUAAGCGUACACGGUGGAUGCCCUGGCAGUCAGAGGCGAUGAAGGACGUGCUAAUCUGCGAUAAGCGUCGGUAAGGUGAUAUGAACCGUUAUAACCGGCGAUUUCCGAAUGGGGAAACCCAGUGUGAUUCGUCACACUAUCAUUAACUGAAUCCAUAGGUUAAUGAGGCGAACCGGGGGAACUGAAACAUCUAAGUACCCCGAGGAAAAGAAAUCAACCGAGAUUCCCCCAGUAGCGGCGAGCGGACGGGGAGCAGCCCAGAGCCUGAAUCAGUGUGUGUGUUAGUGGAAGCGUCUGGAAAGGCGUGCGAUACAGGGUGACAGCCCCGUACACAAAAAUGCACAUAUUGUGAGCUUGAUGAGUAGGGCGGGACACGUGGUAUCCUGUCUGAAUAUGGGGGGACCAUCCUCCAAGGCUAAAUACUCCUGACUGACCGAUAGUGAACCAGUACCGUGAGGGAAAGGCGAAAAGAACCCCGGCGAGGGGAGUGAAAAAGAACCUGAAACCGUGUACGUACAAGCAGUGGGAGCACGCUUAGGCGUGUGACUGCGUACCUUUUGUAUAAUGGGUCAGCGACUUAUAUUCUGUAGCAAGGUUAACCGAAUAGGGGAGCCGAAGGGAAACCGAGUCUUAACUGGGCGUUAAGUUGCAGGGUAUAGACCCGAAACCCGGUGAUCUAGCCAUGGGCAGGUUGAAGGUUGGGUAACACUAACUGGAGGACCGAACCGACUAAUGUUGAAAAAUUAGCGGAUGACUUGUGGCUGGGGGUGAAAGGCCAAUCAAACCGGGAGAUAGCUGGUUCUCCCCGAAAGCUAUUUAGGUAGCGCCUCGUGAAUUCAUCUCCGGGGGUAGAGCACUGUUUCGGCAAGGGGGUCAUCCCGACUUACCAACCCGAUGCAAACUGCGAAUACCGGAGAAUGUUAUCACGGGAGACACACGGCGGGUGCUAACGUCCGUCGUGAAGAGGGAAACAACCCAGACCGCCAGCUAAGGUCCCAAAGUCAUGGUUAAGUGGGAAACGAUGUGGGAAGGCCCAGACAGCCAGGAUGUUGGCUUAGAAGCAGCCAUCAUUUAAAGAAAGCGUAAUAGCUCACUGGUCGAGUCGGCCUGCGCGGAAGAUGUAACGGGGCUAAACCAUGCACCGAAGCUGCGGCAGCGACGCUUAUGCGUUGUUGGGUAGGGGAGCGUUCUGUAAGCCUGCGAAGGUGUGCUGUGAGGCAUGCUGGAGGUAUCAGAAGUGCGAAUGCUGACAUAAGUAACGAUAAAGCGGGUGAAAAGCCCGCUCGCCGGAAGACCAAGGGUUCCUGUCCAACGUUAAUCGGGGCAGGGUGAGUCGACCCCUAAGGCGAGGCCGAAAGGCGUAGUCGAUGGGAAACAGGUUAAUAUUCCUGUACUUGGUGUUACUGCGAAGGGGGGACGGAGAAGGCUAUGUUGGCCGGGCGACGGUUGUCCCGGUUUAAGCGUGUAGGCUGGUUUUCCAGGCAAAUCCGGAAAAUCAAGGCUGAGGCGUGAUGACGAGGCACUACGGUGCUGAAGCAACAAAUGCCCUGCUUCCAGGAAAAGCCUCUAAGCAUCAGGUAACAUCAAAUCGUACCCCAAACCGACACAGGUGGUCAGGUAGAGAAUACCAAGGCGCUUGAGAGAACUCGGGUGAAGGAACUAGGCAAAAUGGUGCCGUAACUUCGGGAGAAGGCACGCUGAUAUGUAGGUGAAGUCCCUUGCGGAUGGAGCUGAAAUCAGUCGAAGAUACCAGCUGGCUGCAACUGUUUAUUAAAAACACAGCACUGUGCAAACACGAAAGUGGACGUAUACGGUGUGACGCCUGCCCGGUGCCGGAAGGUUAAUUGAUGGGGUCAGCGCAAGCGAAGCUCUUGAUCGAAGCCCCGGUAAACGGCGGCCGUAACUAUAACGGUCCUAAGGUAGCGAAAUUCCUUGUCGGGUAAGUUCCGACCUGCACGAAUGGCGUAAUGAUGGCCAGGCUGUCUCCACCCGAGACUCAGUGAAAUUGAACUCGCUGUGAAGAUGCAGUGUACCCGCGGCAAGACGGAAAGACCCCGUGAACCUUUACUAUAGCUUGACACUGAACAUUGAGCCUUGAUGUGUAGGAUAGGUGGGAGGCUUUGAAGUGUGGACGCCAGUCUGCAUGGAGCCGGCCUUGAAAUACCACCCUUUAAUGUUUGAUGUUCUAACGUGGACCCGUGAUCCGGGUUGCGGACAGUGUCUGGUGGGUAGUUUGACUGGGGCGGUCUCCUCCUAAAGAGUAACGGAGGAGCACGAAGGUUGGCUAAUCCUGGUCGGACAUCAGGAGGUUAGUGCAAUGGCAUAAGCCAGCUUGACUGCGAGCGUGACGGCGCGAGCAGGUGCGAAAGCAGGUCAUAGUGAUCCGGUGGUUCUGAAUGGAAGGGCCAUCGCUCAACGGAUAAAAGGUACUCCGGGGAUAACAGGCUGAUACCGCCCAAGAGUUCAUAUCGACGGCGGUGUUUGGCACCUCGAUGUCGGCUCAUCACAUCCUGGGGCUGAAGUAGGUCCCAAGGGUAUGGCUGUUCGCCAUUUAAAGUGGUACGCGAGCUGGGUUUAGAACGUCGUGAGACAGUUCGGUCCCUAUCUGCCGUGGGCGCUGGAGAACUGAGGGGGGCUGCUCCUAGUACGAGAGGACCGGAGUGGACGCAUCACUGGUGUUCGGGUUGUCAUGCCAAUGGCACUGCCCGGUAGCUAAAUGCGGAAGAGAUAAGUGCUGAAAGCAUCUAAGCACGAAACUUGCCCCGAGAUGAGUUCUCCCUGACCCUUUAAGGGUCCUGAAGGAACGUUGAAGACGACGACGUUGAUAGGCCGGGUGUGUAAGCGCAGCGAUGCGUUGAGCUAACCGGUACUAAUGAACCGUGAGGCUUAACCUUACAACGCCGAAG
rnacentral:rRNA from 1 species